UACGUAGGGGGCAAGCGUUGUCCGGAAUCAUUGGGCGUAAAGCGCGCGUAGGCGGCCUCAUAAGUCCGUUGUGAAAGUCAAAGGCUCAACCUUUGAAAGCCGAUGGAUACUGUGAGGCUAGAGUCCGGAAGAGGCGAGUGGAAUUCCUGGUGUAGCGGUGGAAUGCGCAGAUAUCAGGAGGAACACCAAUAGCGAAGGCAGCUCGCUGGGACGGUACUGACGCUAAGGCGCGAAAGCUAGGGGAGCGAACAGG
rnacentral:rRNA from 1 species